rnacentral:ncRNA from 1 species
AAGGAGUUUUAUUCUUGCUUGUUUAUUCAUUAUUUUCUUGCUCUAUAUGUAAGUUUGUGCGUGAUUUUUCUUUGAUUCUAGAUGGGUUAGGGUUAAGGGUUGGGUAAUUCUCAUUAGUUGUUAUUAUUGAUCAAGGAUUCUUGUAGCUAGUAAUGUAUUUUAGUUUCGGUUAAAUUUUGUGCCAGCAGCCGCGGUUAUACCUUGGAUGCAAUUGAAUAUGUUUGGCUUGUGGUAGUUUUAUGAUGUGAGAUGUGAUUUAGGUUUAUGAUUUGGUUGGUUGGUUGGGUGAAAUUUUUAUUCUUGUUGUUUUCCUUGUUUUUAUUUGGAGGCUAUGAAAUUCUUUUUUUAAACUAGGAUUAGAUACCCUAUUAUUUAGGGAUGUUAAUUUUUGUGCUUGAGUAGUAUUAGUUAUGUUCUUGAAACUUAAAGAAUUUGGCGGUAUCUUAUUCCGUUCAGAGGAAUCUGUCUCGUUAUCGAUAGUCCGCGUUGGACCUUACUUGGUUGCUAUGGUUUGUAUACCGCCGUUUAUUGUUUAUGCUUUUAGGGGGUUGAAUUUUCUUGUUUCUUUACUUUGAUUUAUUUCAGGUCAAGGUGCAGCUUGUUUCUAAGUGUUAUUGAUGGAUUACAUUGGUCUUUGUUGUCUGGAUUGUUAGUAGGAUUACUGGUAUGAAAUUGGAUUUGAUUGUAAUGUUUUGUAGAUUGUUUUCAUGAUACUUGGUUCUAAGAUAUGUACACAUCGCCCGUCGCUCUCGUUUAGUUGUUAAUGAGAUAAGUCGUAACAAAGUGGUUGUACCGGAAGGUGCGGCUGGAGUGAU